rnacentral:lncRNA from 1 species
UUUUUUUUUUUACAAAUCUGCAUAGCAGCUUUAGUGAUAAUAGGUAAAAGGAGAGAACAAUCCAAAUGUCCAUCAACAGGUGAAGGGAUUAAAAAAAAAACUGGGAUACCUAUGUAACAGAAUACUACUCAGCAACAAAAGAUACAACUAUUGUGAUACACAACAAACAGAUGAAUGUCAAAAUGAUGUAAGACACAAAAUGAUGUGAGCCAGACACAAAAGAAUAUAGAAUAUAUGAUUACGUUUAUAUGAAAAUGUACAACAGGCAAAAACUCAUUUAUAGGGGCACAAAGCUGAUGAGGGUUAUCUGGGGCUGGGAGCAGGGAAGAGCAGCCGACUGAACAGGGGCACAAAAGAAGCUUGACGGGUGAUGGGAAAGUUCUCUAUCAUGAGUGUGAUGGUAGUUAUGCCAGUGUAUACACUUAACCAAUGAUCAUCAGACUGUCCACAUUUUUUGUCUUUUUAGGGCCCCAUACCCGCAGCAUAUGGAAGUUCCCAGACUAGGGGUCAAAUCGGCCUAUGCUACAGUCACAGCAAUGUGGGAUCUGAGCCGCCUCUGCAACCUACACCACACCUCAUGACAACACCGGACCCUUAACCCACUGAGCGAGCCCAGGGAUCAAACCCGAGUCCUCAUGGAUUCUAGUCGGGUUCGUUACUGCUGAGCCACGACGGGAACUCCCAGACUGCCCACAUUUUAUUAGAUGUAAUGUCAAUAAAGCUAUCAGCGCAGAUAUGUUGAGCUUUUUCUGAGACGUAGAGGAUGAACAGGAGUGUAUCAGUGUUGAUUGGCCAAAUAUUUUUAAAAGAUUAAAUUAUAAAUAAAGCAAUAAACAGUUUAAUAACUAGCACUUACAGAGUACUUGCCAUUUGCCAGGUGUUGUUCUAAGAGGUUCCACACAUGGAUUAAACCUCAUGACAACUAUCUAAGAGAGGGACUAUUACCCAUUUUACAGAUGAAGAAACUGAGGCUCUGAAAGGCCUUAAAUCCAUAGGGUAAGUGGCAAAACCAGGACCCAAAGGGUCUGGCUUGAGUGAGCAUCCUCCUAAUUUCUCUACUACAGUGACUUUCUCAUUAGGACAAGAAACUCCCUUUUCUCCAUAAUUCUACCACCUCUUAAGAAAAAUAUCAUGUUUGCAUGAAAUGCUUUCUUCAGGCUUUGCCAACACGUCUCCAUAUUUUGACCACUGUAAUCACAGCUUAGCUACUGCCCAAGAGAAGCUACUGCAAGCAAAGGGUGAGUCUAGCGAGUAACGAACCCGACUAGUAUCCAUGAGGACGCAGGUUUGAUCCCUGGCCUUGCUCAGUGGGUUAAGGAUCUGGUGUUUCCUUGAGCUGUGGUAUGGGUUGCAGACAUGGCUUGGAUUCUGCAUGGCUGUGGCAGCAGCAGCUGCCACUGGAGCUGCAGCUCUGACUCAACUCCUAGCCUGGGGAACUUUAAGAAGCAAAAAUCAAUAAAUAAAAAUUUUUUAAAAGAUGAGUCUAAUUGCUUUCUGGAAAAAAAAAAUAUGUGCCUUUAUGCACUCAUGACUGAAUGAUCAUAUUUUAAUGGCUACAUAUAAUUCUUUUAUUUAAAAUACCACAUUUUAUUCAUCUUUAUUAUGGAAUAGGUCAUUACUACAGAAAAUGCUGUCAUGAGCAUCUUCCUGCCAGGCACAGAGCUUUAUUUUUUGAAUCUCUUAUGUAGCCUGUCACGAGACAUGUUUCUACAAUGUUUUCUUAGCCUCUUUGCUGAAAACUCUUACCUUGUCCUGCUUUACCCCAUCUUCUUGCUUGAAAACAGUCGAAGUGAUGGUGAAUGACUUAAGCUUAAGAACAAAGACCUAGAGGCGUAAGUUAUUCAUAGGGUCAGCUGAACAAAGAGGACUUAAUGUGUUGGUCUAGGCACACCCAGACCUGUGCAGAUUGCACAGCAUAAGUCCUCUUAAGAAUAAAAGAGGAGCCCCAUAGCCCCAAGAGGUUUAUGAGGGGUCCUUAGCUGGAUAUACAUUAGCAAAGAAGAAUGCCGUCUGCAGAAGCACAAUGGUGAUUCUCUAGAGGUUAUGCCUAGAUAGCUGACGCCAAGCUUCCUCAAAUGCUAGUGAUUGUUAAAUGCCUAAAGGUCAGAGUAAAAGCUUAAUCAGCAACUGGCUAAGUGACUUUUAAAAUAACUUACAUAAACAACAGCAACAUCUCAGAUCCACCUCUUAAGAGUAUUGACAACAAAAACAAAAACAAAUGGGACCUAAUCAAACUUCAAAGUUUCUGCACAGCAAAGGAAACCCUAAAUAACACAAAAAGACAACCUACAGAAUGGGAGAAAAAUCUUUGCAAGUGAAUCGACUGACAAGGGAUUAAUCUCCAAAAUUUAUAAACAACUUCUGCAGUUCCAUACCAAAAAAACAAACAACCCCAUCCAAAAAUGGGCAGAAGAUCUAAACAGACAAUUCUCCAAAGAAGACAUACAGAUGGCUGAGAAGCACAUGAAAAGAUGUUCAACAUCACUCAUUAUUAGAGAAAUGCAAAUCAAAACCUCUCUGAGGUACCACCUUACACCAGCC